UUUAUUUCUCAUACAUAUUAGUUCUUCAACAACAAUAUUUCGAGAUUUUAUCUUUUCAAAAUUUUUAUCUAGAAUUUUUUAUUUUAAAAUAGUUUUAAAUUUUUUAAAUAAUUGUAAUAUAGAAUCAAGGUAAAAUUGAUAAAAAAAUAUAAAAUUUAAUAACUAAAUUAUUAUAUCAACUGAAAAAAUAUCAUUUAAUGAUUGAGCAACAUAAAAAAUAAUUUCGAAAACUUUAAUAAUUAAAUUAUAUUUUUUUAAUUCAAGUGAUCAAGAUAAAAAUUCAUCCACUAUUUAGGGACUAAUGAUAUAUUUAAGGCUUCAACAUGGGCCCGCCACUUCCUUUUUAUAAUUAUUUUUUCCCUUUUUUUCAGCCCUUUCCUUUUCUACUUUCUUCGUUCUUUUCUUUCUCUACUUGUCCUUCCCUUCACAACCCUACCACCAUGAGCCACCGCCGUCCAUGGCUUUCUCCGGCUGGUCCCUACCAUUAACACAAAACCGAAGAUCUUUUCACCCUCUCCUCAUUUAAGGCUUAGAUAUUUUAAAAUGGCCUAAAACCCUUCCUAAUCUACCCUUCAGAUCACGAUCGAUCUGCAAAUCCCGCCGUUCAACCGCCUCGAUUUUCCAGUAUGUUAUUCUCCGCACUGGAGCUCCGAACCCGAAAGAUUAGUGGCGUUUCUUUUUAUUUUUUGACUUCUUUUACUAUUUUUCGAAUACUGAAUUUUCUCUGUUUGGAGGCGCGGUUCGGAUGAAGCUUUUCCUUCUUUUCGGUUUUGCAGACUUCGAUUCAGGUCCGUUUCUCUUUUUUUUUUUGUUGAAUUUGUGGUUGGGUUCUCUAUUGGUCUCUGUUCGCUUGCUGCUGGGUUUGUGAGUUAUGGUUUGGGGAGCUAGGCUUGGUGCUGAAGUAUGAUGAUGGAUAGGUAAUGUGUUGCAAGAGGGCUAUGGAAAUGGUGGAGUUGGGCGAGUUGAGGAGGUUGCUGUUUAGAGAUGGUAAUGGUUAAUUGAGGGAGGGGAGCUAGUGUAUAGACGAGGCAAGGUGUUGAAUGGUGAAGGCAGUGGGGUGCUUGAUUGGUGUUGGUAAUGGAGGUUUUGGCUUCUGGGUUAGCUCAGACAAACCAAGAAUCUUGCUGUGCUAUUGCUGUCUUCUUUUUUUCUGAAAAUUUUGCUAACCUCCACUUCUUCUUGUUGCAGGGUGCUUAUAACGGAGCAUUGGCGUGGGACUUUGGUGAAGCUGGUGUGUGCAGUAGGGUGGUUGAUGGGAUUUGUCGGCGGAGGGUAUGGUGGUGGCAGUAAUCGGUUGAUGAGAUGGUGACUAUGUGAGGGACCGAAAUGCAUAAUUUGUGAAAGCCGAAGGGCUUUUUAUAUAUACAUACCAUUGGGUUAAAGCCCAAAACUUUUAAAACAUGACUCAAUUUAAAUUAAUGCAAUAAAAAUUCUUCUAAUCUAAAUAAUUAGUAGAUUGGAUAAAAUACUUGGGUGUCUAUACUUAAAUCACUUUUCAAGAGCAAUUUUUUCUAUCAACAUGAUAGAAGUUUUAUUUAUUUUUCUUGAUGAUUAUUCAUUCUAGAGCUAAAGAAAAUGAAGCUAAGAUUGGUAGGGUGAUGCUGAUGGCAAUUGAAACAAAAACACAUACAGAAUCAAAUAUUCACAAUGUACUUUUUAAUAACUCAACUUGAUCUUCAUAUUCCUUAAUGUUCCCUCUAGGAUUCUCCUCAAAUCUUGCUAUCCUGAACUGUUUUAGCUCAACUCCCUUUGCCUCUCCUAUAAGCGCUAAAUCAGCCAAUAUCCUCCCUAUCGCGGGUGACAUCUUGAACCCAUGACCUGAAAAUCCACCUCCGAUCACCACAUCCUUCCCGAACUCCCCUCCCAAAAAAUCGAUCACGAAAUCCUCAUCAGGUGUCAUCGAGUACACACACAAUUGAGUCAUGACUGGUUUGCUCGAAUCGACUUUCCCUUUGAAUCUUUGCUCAACCCAUUGCUUUAAUGAAUCGGGCACAAGUCCUGGUCCCCAUGGCCUUUUGUCUGGGUUACAUUGAUAGCCUCCAUGUACUGCUACUUUAAUCAACCCCGGGUACUCCAGUGACGGUGUGCCAUAAAUGUAUGGAUGUCCGUAGCUAGCGAACGUCGGAAAAUCAUUUCCAAUUGCAUACUCGACCUCGUGUCCGUCCUUAAUCCGCCAAUAACAUACAUUGGUUUCCAAUGGUUGGAUAGGAAGUUCAAUGCCGCGCACCGUUUUAACCAAAUUUCUCAUCCAACCACCCACUGUCACCACACAUUUUUUACCCCAAAAAAUUUCACCAUUGCUUGCAGCUACCUUCAAUCCUCGGUCACCAUCUUUGUUUAUGCUAACCACUUUGAUGUUGUCCUUAAGGCAUGCACCAUUCUUGAAAGCCAGCAUUUGGAACAUUGACACUGCCUUGGUGGGCUUGAUGAUGCCGCCAAGCUCGCACGACACGCCAAUCCAGUCCUCUGGUAUAUCGAUCCGUCCGGAAAAUCUUUCAGCGACUUGCCGGUGAUCGAGGACUUGGUACGGGAUGCCGUUCUUUCUACAAGUAGAGAUCACAGAAAGGAGACUCUUGGCGUCGGAUGGGCCCAUGUCGAACUGUUGGGCCUUGAAGUAAACCUUGAACCCGAUUUCAGAUUGAGCCUGCUCCCACAACCGAUACGACUCAUCGACCAAGCCGAAGUAGUAGUCUUCAGGGUACGUUGCUCGUAUGGUGCGUGACUCGCCGUGAGAGGAACCUCGAUGGUGGAGAAAGUCAAACUGCUCGAGGAGUAGCGUUUUUUGGCCUCUUUUGGCUAGUUGGUACGCCGUGGAGCUCCCCAUGACGCCGGCCCCUACGACGAUUACGUCAAAUUCAUUGUCCGAAUAUCCCAU
rnacentral:lncRNA from 1 species